rnacentral:misc_RNA from 1 species
UUUCCGUAGGUGAACCUGCGGAAGGAUCAUUACCACGCGAUCCAAAACGCUCACUCCCUUAAUGAAAUUCUUGCAAGCGUUCACGCGCUUGUACUUAUCUCACACCUUUACCAAACCUACAACAACCCUACAACAACUACAAUCGGCAAGCUUUUUUGCGUGUCAAACUCAACACUUGACGUGCGAAAUACCAAAUAUCAAUGCUUUACAACUUUUAGCAACGGAUAUCUUGGCUCUUGCAUCGAUGAAGAACGCAGU